GAGUUUGAUCGUGGCUCAGGAUGAACGCUGGCGGCGUGCCUAAUACAUGCAAGUCGAGCGAACUGAUUAGAAGCUUGCUUCUAUGACGUUAGCGGCGGACGGGUGAGUAACACGUGGGCAACCUGCCUGUAAGUCUGGGAUAACUUCGGGAAACCGAAGCUAAUACCGGAUAGGAUCUUCUCCUUCAUGGGAGAUGAUUGAAAGAUGGUUUCGGCUAUCACUUACAGAUGGGCCCGCGGUGCAUUAGCUAGUUGGUGAGGUAACGGCUCACCAAGGCAACGAUGCAUAGCCGACCUGAGAGGGUGAUCGGCCACACUGGGACUGAGACACGGCCCAGACUCCUACGGGAGGCAGCAGUAGGGAAUCUUCCGCAAUGGACGAAAGUCUGACGGAGCAACGCCGCGUGAGUGAUGAAGGCUUUCGGGUCGUAAAACUCUGUUGUUAGGGAAGAACAAGUACAAGAGUAACUGCUUGUACCUUGACGGUACCUAACCAGAAAGCCACGGCUAACUACGU
rnacentral:rRNA from 1 species